UACGGAGGGUGCAAGCGUUAUCCGGAUUUAUUGGGUUUAAAUGGGUACGUAGGCGGUGGAGUAAGUCAGUGGUGAAAGCCAACAGCUCAACUGUUGAACUGCCAUUGAUACUGCUUCACUUGAGUGCAGUUGAGGUGGGUGGAAUUCCAUGUGUAACGGUGAAAUGCUUAGAUAUAUGGAGGAACACCGAUAACGAAGGUAACUCACUAAACUGUAACUGACGCUGAGGUACGAAAGCGUGGGGAGCAAACGGG
rnacentral:rRNA from 1 species